rnacentral:rRNA from 1 species
GACGAACGCUGGCGGCGUGCUUAACACAUGCAAGUCGAACGGAAAGGCCCUGCUUUUGUGGGGUGCUCGAGUGGCGAACGGGUGAGUAACGCGUGAGCAACCUGCCCUUGUGUGGGGGAUAACGUUUGGAAACGGACGCUAAUACCGCAUAACCCAAUAGUACGGCAUCGUACAGUUGGCAAAGAUUUAUUGCACAAGGAUGGGCUCGCGUCUGAUUAGGUAGUUGGUGGGGUAACGGCCUACCAAGCCCGCGAUCAGUAGCCGGACUGAGAGGUUGAACGGCCACAUUGGAACUGAGAUACGGUCCAG